UACGUAGGUGGCAAGCGUUGUCCGGAAUUAUUGGGCGUAAAGCGCGCGCAGGCGGUCCUUUAAGUCUGAUGUGAAAGCCCACGGCUCAACCGUGGAGGGUCAUUGGAAACUGGGGGACUUGAGUGCAGAAGAGGAGAGUGGAAUUCCACGUGUAGCGGUGAAAUGCGUAGAGAUGUGGAGGAACACCAGUGGCGAAGGCGACUCUCUGGUCUGUAACUGACGCUGAGGCGCGAAAGCGUGGGGAGCGAACAGGAUUAGAAACCCUCGUAGUCC
rnacentral:rRNA from 1 species